rnacentral:lncRNA from 1 species
GCCAAGUACUGGGAGGUUGCAAGUAAGAAGUAUCCAUGCGCGUCAAAAAGAGUUUGGUCAAUUUUUGUCAACUGCUUGGCGCCCUGUGAAAAUGUCCUUCAGCAAACUGAUUUGAGGAAACUCUGGACUGGAUCAUCUCUGGUCCGUUGCUAACAUGAAUCACCUGCCGUUGAACUCCGGCUGUGAUGAAACACACCAGGUACACCUGAGAGUGAUGGUGAAAGAAGAGGACGUGAAAGAAGAGGAAUACGGACAUAUGAUUACAUGGCAAGAUGAAGAAGAAAAGCCCAUUGCAGAUCUUCACUGUAAAACGGAAUCAGACUUCACAGAGUCACUAAGCUCCACUCAUAAUGAAACACUACAGACAACAGUGGAGGUUAAAGUGAAGGAAGAAGAGGAUGAACAAGGACACGGCGAAACUACACCAAUGAAGACAAAUGCAUAUCCCUUUUGGGAGCAACAGCUGGAACAUGUCCUAGACACGUAAGUACAUUUAUGAUUGCACACACGCAUAAUGCUAUUAGCAUGCUCUUCGGGUAUG